rnacentral:rRNA from 1 species
CCCUUAGAUGUCCUGGACUGCACGCGCGUUACACUUUGUCAGAUAAAAGGCUUCUACUACCAUCUACGGUGGUGUUCCUGGGCUGGAAGGCUUGGGUAAACGUUGAAUCUGACGAGUGAUGGGGAUAGACCUUUGCAAUUGUAGGUCUUGAACGAGGAAUUCCUAGUAGGCGCAAUUCAUCAAAUUGCGUCGAUUGCGUCCCUGCCCUUUGUACACACCGCCCGUCGCUCCUACCGAUUGAACGAUCCGGUGAAAUUCUCGGAUAUCUGUUUGGCUGGCAGCAAUGUCAGUUGAGCGUGAUAGAAGUUACUUAAACCUUAUCGUUUAGAGGAAGGAGAAGUCGUAACA